UGGGAGGAGUUCAGCCACCCUUCUCUCUCUCUCUCUCUCUCUCUCUCUCUCUCUGCCCCCCACCUCUCGUGGGUGGCUGGUCCUAUUUAUAGAGGCCCUGGUCCUCUUCCCAAAUAUCGAGCGGGAAGGGAGCCAACAAUGGCGGGCUAAUUUGAAAGGGGACAACUAGUACCAGCUAUCCUGACAAAAGUAGUCUUCGCCUGCACAAAGCUCUGGUGGUGACGCCGUCUUGGGCUCCACAAUGACCUCCGUCUUGCAGUCCUCCUGGUCUUGGUCUUGUUGCAUCGAAAUAGCAACCUCUGCCUGAUGCUUUGGUACUCCGCGGCUACGCUUGCCCCCUUUGCACCAAAGGGGAAAGGAGGACACUGCGCGGGCUGGCACCCGCCUGGCGCCCUUGGUCGUCAUGGCUUGCAUCACGGGCACCUCAUGAGGUACCCCGCCUUGAUCUCUCCGCCUCCUCGCGAGCCAGCCUGACGAGGCCGUUCCUGAGGAAGCUCCGUGUCGUCCGCCCCGCGAGGCUUGGCCCCUCGCGAGGGUCUCGGGUCUGUGUUGAUGAAGAUGGGCCGUGCUGGGGCCCCCUUUGAGCCACGCCGUAGGCCGUAGGCAGGCAAGUCUGGGGACCCCCGUUCCUAGAACGCCGACAGUAGCCCCCGGGCCCAAGGCGCGCCCAGGCUUGGCCAUGCAGGGGGGAGAAAGGGCAAGAGCGAAGCGCCGCGGGCCCUAACAGCCUGCGGUCUUGGGCGCCGCGUGGCGGUUGAUUGGACGUGGGCGUCUCCACUUCCCCAUGGCGCCUCGGCAACUGCACGGAUUGGGCAAGUCCCUGCAUGCAAAGCGGGUCAUAAUUAACUGCGAUCAUGCGGGCCGUUGGUUGGCCCUCGCCAGCUAUAAGUACGGAUUGGCGCGCGCCCUUCCAGUUCAUCCCCCUUGCUUCUCCUUCUUCAUGGCCCUGCCGAGGAGGUUCUCGGCCGCAGAGAAGGGGAAGGCUCGCCAGGUUGAGCCCGCCUCUCCCUCGCCCAAGCGCGGCCGAGGGCGCCCUCGCAAACAUCCUGUGGCCACCACGGCAGCUCCCCACGGCCGUGGAGGCGAUUUUCAGCAUAGCGACGGGCGGAUUGCUGCAGCCGGAGGGCGCGCUCCAGCUGCGCGUCCCCCUAGGCCGCGCUUUCGCGCUGCUGAGGUGCUGCCGGAGUUCGUCGUGUGGUCGGCAGAGUCGACCAGCACCCGGCUUCCACUUCCUCGCUUCCUCCUUGGCGAGCUCCCGGCCGGCGCCCCGGGCGGCCUCUGGCUUCAGGCCGAUGGCUGCUGCAGCCGGGCCUCAUGGGUCUCACUGGAGGUCUCCGCAGCCGGGAGCCUGGCCCUGGCCCGCGGUUGGCAGACGUUUGCCCGCGCACGUGGCCUGAGCCAUCGGUGCACCCUGCACUUCAAGUUCGACGGUGAUGCCACCCUCUACGUGAGGGUGUUUGGGGAAGAUGGUCGCCACGCAGGGUGCUGCCCCGAGGGCGACGACCGCGGCUGGGAUCCCAGCUCCGGCGAUGAUGGAGAGGGCAGCGCUCGCGCGGUUGGCGGCGCUCAGGGUUCCCCAAGCUUCUCCAGUUCUUCUUCAGGCGACGACUCUUCUAGCGGUGGCCGCGGUCAGCCUCCACGCCGUCGUAUCUUCUUGGGAGGUGGUAGCGUGUCCGCCUGCUGUCGCGCCCCGGUGAAGCGCGAGAGGGAGUCUGCCUGAGCCCCGGAGGCAGCUCGAGUCUACCCUGCGGGCCGGUGUGAGGUGAGCUGCGCCUGAUUUGUUCUUUCUUUUCCUUUUUCCUGCGUAAAAAAGACAGUAGUGUGGAGCCCCGCAGGGGCGUGUUUGGGUUAUUGCUGUUAAUCAUCGUUUUGCUUCCGUUAUCGUACCUUCCGGCUACGUGCCCGCGCGUGGAUAGUUCCCGGCCCCAGCCGUGGGGGGCGACCGACCCAGGCCCUGUGUUUGUGUCGCGGUGCCCGUGGGGCACGGACUGGAGGGGUGCUCCUGUAAUGGGCCCAGGUCGCGAACCCUUUGAACGACUAGGAUAGGAACACUCGCGAGGGUGCUCGGAUGCCCCCCCCUCGCGAGGCCUUGCACAAGAGAAAUCGAGGCAGAAGAGUGAAAAGUCGAAGAACCACAAGCCAAAGACAACAACAACUUCAAUAAAACUUCGAAUGAGAAGGAACAAGCCAACUGCGAAAAGCAAAUGAAAAGCCGCGUUCGGCACCUAAUCUACUCUUCCACGUCUUCUCACCAGCGCGGAGCUAAGUGCUGCCACUGGGCGUGGGAGGGAGCCCCAGGGCCUGAGGCCGACACUCCUGAGACUCCGGGGCGUGUACAGACCCAACUCAUUAUUACGUGAGAGUGUCACGGGCGGCGAGCUUCACAGGCGUUGGCUUCUUCACAGGCUCCGGGCCUUUUCCAAAAUGCGACAGCUUCACAGGCAUUCGCCUUCUUCACAGGCUCCGGGCCUUUUCCAAAACGCGAUAGCUUCACAGGCAUUCGCCUUCUUCACAGGCUCUGGGCCUUUUCCAAAACGCGACAGCUUCACAGGCGUUCGCCUUCUUCACAGGCUCUAGGCCUUUUCCAAAACACGACAGCUUCACAGGCGUUCGCCUACUUCACAGGCUCUGGGCCUUUUCCAAAACGCGACAGCUUCAUAGGCGUUCGCCUUCUUCACAGGCUCUGGGCCUUUUCCAAAAUGCAACAGCUUCACAGGCGUUCGCCUUCUUCACAGGCUCUGGGCCUUUUUAGGGGUAGAACCUCCGGAGGUGCUGGAUGUUCCAUGCAUUCUGGACCGACACCCCCUCCUGUGUCUCCAAGCGUGCGGAGCCGGGCCUGGAAACAUGAACAACUUUGAACGGGCCCUCCCACAUGGGAGAGAGCUUGUGCAGCCCCUCCCUGGAGAGAACCCGCCUGAGCACGAGGUCUCCUACCUCAAGAGUUCUAGGGCAGAUGUUGCGGCAGUGAUAUCGCUGCAGUGCUUGUUGGUACCUCGCCGCUCGCAGCACGGCUUCUCGGCGAUGUUCCUCCCCCAGCACGAGGUCCAUCCCCCGCAUGGCGUCCUACUGCACCUUGUCGAACGCCAGGACCCGUGCGGAGCGACGUAUGACCUCGUGAGGGAGGACCGCUUCGGCUCCGUAGACCAAGAAGAACGGGGUCUCUCCAGUCGGCUUGGUCGCGGUUGUGCGGAUGGACCACAACACGGACUGAAGCUCGUCGUACCAACCUCUGCCACAGGCCUCCGGCUUCUUCUUGAACGUCCUGGUCUUGAGGCCCCUCAGGAUCUCUGCGUUGGCUCGCUCGGCCUGGCCGUUGCUUCGGGGGUGCGCUACCGAAGCGUAGCAUAUCUGCGUUCCAAGGUUAGCACAGUAUGUUUUGAAGAGGUUACUAGUGAACUGCGAACCGUUUUCUGUGAUGAUACGGUUCGGCACCCCGAACCGGCUCACGAUGCCCUUGAUGAACUUGACCGCGGAACCCGCGGGAAUGGUGCGGACAGCCUCUACUUCAGCCCACUUGGUGAACUUGUCCACGGCGACGUAGAGGUAGCGGUAGCCCCCUGGCGCCCGAGGAAACGGGCCCAAGAUGUCCAGCCCCCAGACUGCGAAUGGCCACGAAAGGGGUAUAGUCUGCAGGCCUCCUGCUGGCUGAUGGAUCUGCUUGGCGUGGAACUGGCAGGCCUCAGAAGCUUUCACUAAUUCAACGGCGUCAUUGAGCGUGGUGGGCCAAUAAAACCCACUGCGGAAUGCCCUGCCGACGAGGGUCCGUGAUGAUGAAUGAUGUCCACAGUCUCCGCCAUGUAUAUCUUCAAGUAGUUCCUUCCCUUGCUCCCUGGAGAUGAAGCGCAGGGAUACAUCGUUUGGUCGCUUCCGGUAGAGCUCUCCAUCCUUGAUGCAGUAUGCCGUGGCCUGUCGUGCCACUCGCUCUGCUUCCUCCUCCUUCUCCGGUAGGGUCCCUUGUGUUAAGUAACUCCGGAGGUCCGUAAUCCAGCAUCCCUCCCGAGGUUCCAUCGUCAGGAGCAGGUGUGCUCCUGAGGCCGGGUCACAGGCCGGAGCUCCCCUGGCAGGUGGCUGGGGGAGCUCCUCCCGAGGCUGAGCCGUGUUUGGCAUUGACGGCUGGGCUGAGGGCUUGAAGAGCCGCUCCUCGAAAACACCAGGCUCCUGAGGUAACCGCCUGGACGCCCGUUUGGCGAUGUCGUCGGCCUCCUGAUUGGUGCCACGGGGCACAUGCCGCAACUCCAACCCCCAGAACUGCUUCUCCAUCCUGCGGACCUCCGUAAGGUAGGCUUCCAUGUGCUCAUCUUUCGGCUCGUACACCUUGUUGGAGAAAUUGACAAGGAGCUGUGAAUCGCCCUUGAUGGUGAGGCGUUUCACUCUCAAGGCAGUUGCGGCCUUCAAGCCCGCUAUUAAACCUUCAUACUCCGCUAUGUUGUUGGAGACCUUUUCACCUUGCUGGAAGCAGAGCUGCACAGUGUAGUAGAGCUUGUCCUGAGUGGGCGAUAUAAGCACCGCCCCAGCCCCAGCGCCAUGCCUGGAGAACGCCCCAUCGAAGUACAGGACCCAGCUUUCUGGUGCCUCGCUUCCCGGGGAGAGGGACCGAUCCUCAUCUGCCUUGAGGCCUGGUGCCUCCGUCCAUUCUGCCACAAAAUCCGCCAACGCUGCUCCCUUGAUGACUCUAGUCAUGCUGAAUUCGAGCUGAAACACUUGCAGUUCUAUGUUCCACUCAGCGACCCUUCCAGCUGAGUUAGGGCUCCUGAGCACUCUCUCUAGGGGGUAUGACGAGAGGACCUUGAUGGGGUGACCCUGAAAGUAGUGCCGCAGCUUGCACGAGGCCACCAGUAGCGUGAGGAGGAGCUUCUGAGGCAUGGGGUACCGUGCCCUUGCAUCCCGCAACACCGUGCUGACGAAGUACACUGGGUGCUCAACAAGGUGGAGUGCGUCAGUGCUGGUGGCUCCCUUCGGAGACCAUGGCGCCUCUUGAGGCAAUGAGGCCUCCUGAGACUAGCCAUCUGGGAGAGGGGCCUCUUCCGCCUCCGGUUCACUCCUCUGCGGCGGCUGAUCCUCCUCAGCCGCGGUGGCGGUUUCUGUGGGCCUUCCUUGUUCCUGUUCUGCCUUGUCCCGGGCUGCUGCCGCGGUUUUGAUUCGACGCUCCUCUCUGACUGCCAGCAAGGCUACACUGGCGGAGUAGGGAGUGGCGGUGAGGUAAAGCACCAGGGGCUCUUGAGGGCGCGGAGCCACCAUGAACAGUGGGCUGGUCAGGUAUCUCUUGAGAUCUUGGAACGCCUCGUCGGCCUCUUCAGUCCACUCAAAGGGCCCCUUUUUCUUCAUUAGCUGGAAGAAGGGCAGCGCUCGCUCCCCCAACUUGGAGAUGAAGCGCCCUAGCGCGGUCACGCGCCCCGUGAGCUUCUGCAUUUCUCUGAGGGUCUUUGGCGGUCUCAUGUCUUCUACCACCUUGACCUUUUCCGGGUUAGCCUCGAUGCCUCGGUGGGACACGAGGAAACCCAAGAGCUUGCCCGAGGGGACUCCGAACACACACUUCUCUGGGUUGAGCCGUAGGUUCACUGUGUUGAGGCUUGCGAAGGUUUCCUCCAGGUCUUGUAUCAAGGUCCAGGCCUCCCGAGACUUUACCACAAUGUCAUCGACGUAAGCUUCAACAUUCUUCUCGAGCUACGGGCCCAAGGUGAUGUGCAUCUGCCGUUGAAAGGUCGCCCCUGCGUUAUGCAGCCCGAAUGGCAUGCAUGUGUAGCAGUACACCCCACAUAGGGUUAGGAAUGCUGUCUUUUAGACAUCUUCUACCGCCAUCUUGAUCUGGUGAUACCCAGAGAAGGCAUCCAAGAAGCAUAGCAGGUUGCAUUCCGCGGUGGAAUCGACGAUCUGGUCGAUGCGGGGGAGCGGGAACGGAUCUUGCGGGCAUGUUUUGUUGAGGUUGGUGAAGUCGACACACAUGCGCUCCUUCCCUCCCUUCUUUGGCACGACGAUAGGGUUGGCCAACCAAUCCGGGUAUCGGACCUCGCGAAUGACCCCAGCAGCUUCUAAUUUGCGGGUCUCUUGGACGAUGAAGGCCUGCUUUACUGUGGACUGCCGCCUGGCCUUCCGCGUCACAGGGCGCACGUUGGGCCACACGUUGAGGUGAUGCUCGAUUACACUCCUAGGGAUCCCUGCUAACUGGUCAGGAUCCCAAGCGAAUACCUUCUUGUUUGCGCGCAGGAAUCCGACCAGGGACUCCUCCUGCUCGGGUUUGAGGUUGGCGCCUAUGGUGAAAGUGGCGUUGGUGGACCCAUCCUCAUCGACGGGUAUCUGCUUGGUUUCUGCCUUGUCUUGGGUGAACAACUGUUUCUUCUUGGCGGGUGCAGCCCCCUUGGGCUCGGGGGUCUCCAAGUCGGCGGGCUGUGCCGACACCGCUCCUCCCGGGCAUCUUCAUGAGGUUGUACGCCGGGUGCGUCGCGGCCAUGAACUGGGCCAGCGCUAGGUAUCCGAGGAUGGCGUUGUAGGGGAGGCCGAUGGGGGCGAUGUCGAAGUCGACCAGCUCCGUGCGGAAGUUGUUGUAGGUGCCGAAGGUUACUGGGAGCCGGAUCUGUCCCAAGGAGCUGGAUGAUCCGCCCCCAACGCCUGAGAAGGGCCGGCUGGGUUGCAGCCGUUCCAGGGGUAUGCAGAGGAGGUUGAAGGCCUCGACCGAGAGCACGCUGAGGCCCGCACCGCCAUCAAUGAGAGUUCUGGUGACGGCCACCUGGCAGAUGGUGGGGGUGCACAGCAUGGGGAGCGCACCCGAGGAGGCCGAGUUGGAGGGGUGGUCCUCCGAGCUGAAGGUCAGGCCGGUCUCGGGCGCCGCCCGGUCCGGGAGAGCCCCCUGCCGCGUGGAAGCGGCGCUGACCCGGCGGAUGAAUGGCUUGACGUGGUGACUUGUAGGCAGCGCCUGCGAGCCGCCCAGGAGGGCCGCAACGACCGGGGGGGUUGGUGUAGCACGAUUGGCGGGGAAGAGGCUGCGGUGCUCUUCCCGUGAGGCCACGGAGGCUGCCGGCAGGUGGAGCAGCCAUGUGCGCGGAGCACAAGUGAGGGCCAUGAGGAGCCAGUUGGCCACGACCCUAUCGUCACCUUCGGUUUCGAGGAGGGCCUCCUCGCUCGCCAGCAAGAAGGCCAGCGGAUCUGUCGUGCCGCCAUAGCGCGGCGGCGUCGUUGGCUUGAACUUGUCCGGCCACCGUACCCGUUGCCGGGCUGGGGCCAGGGCUUGAAGCCCCCUGGCCCCCGUGCUGGCGCCGGUGGCCGGAGCGGGCGACGCGCUACUCAUCGCGAGGCAGGCCGUGGCGGUGGCGGAAGAGAAAACUCCGCCGCACCCCUACCUGGCGCGCCAAAUGUCGGAUUUCGGGUUCCGGCCGACCCUUGAGGUUCAAAAAUGGGGUGCGCGCGGAGAUUUCGCCUCCUACCUACCUGCGCCCCUCCGCCUCGCUAAGAUCUGAGCUAUGGAAAGAAUAACACGAGGGACACAAGGUUUAUACUGGUUCGGGCCACCGUUGUGGUGUAAUACCCUACCCCAGUGUGUGGUGUGGUGGAUUGCCUCUUGGGCUGACGAUGAUGAACAAUACAAGGAAGAACAGCCUCGCGAGGGUCUGUUCUUGGCUGGGGGGAUGAACCGCUGGGAGGAGUUCAGCCACCCUUCUCUCUCUCUCUCUCUCUCUGCCCCCCACCUCUCGUGGGUGGCUGGUCCUAUUUAUAGAGGCCCUGGUCCUCUUCCCAAAUAUCGAGCGGGAAGGGAGCCAACAAUGGCGGGCUAAUUUGAAAGGGGACAUCUAGUACCAGCUAUCCUGAGAAAAGUAGUCUUCGCCUGCACAAAGCUCUGGUGGUGACGCCGUCUUGGGCUCCACGAUGACCUCCGUCUUGCAGUCCUCCUGGUCUUGGUCUUGUUGCACCGAAAUGGAAACCUCUUCCUGAUGCCUCAGUACUC
rnacentral:lncRNA from 1 species